UUAAAUUGAAGCAACUCAGUUCUUCCACCUUAAUUUUCAAUUCCACAUAUCUACUUAUAUAGUGAGAAUUGGGAAAUUUAGAGGUCAGAUUCGUGCUCUCCGUCAUUUUGUCUUUGAAUUAGUAUAUAGAUCUUAAAUUUUGGUAAACUUUGGUGGUGGACCAGUCUGGUGAGGUCCACCAGAGAAGAUGACCGGAGCCCUAGCUCCGGUGGUGUGUUGUCUUAAUCUCAUCCAUCUGAUCUUGGUGAGAUAUUC
rnacentral:lncRNA from 1 species